AACGUUAAAGAAAUGAAUUAUAAAGAAAUACUGAGUAUUAAGAUAAAACGAAUGUUAGGAUGGUGAAAGCAACGGGAUUUAACCCUUAUUGGGAUCUGGAAUAUCAAAAUUGUUACAUGUAUCUUCCACAAUGUCUGUAGCACAAUGGGUUCUCAAAGAAGUAGAGAAGAUCUGUUUUUAAUUCCUUUGGAAUGGUCAUGAUAAGUAAAAAGGAACAUCCUUUACACCAAUUAUGAUGCAGGAGGUUUGAAAAUGUCAAAUUUUAAAUAUAUGGUUUGUGCGCAGCGUGUUAUGUGGAUAAAAGACUUCUUGGUGGAAAUAAGGAAACUAUUUUUCCAACAUGUAUUCAGAUCUAUAGGAGGGAGUUUAAUAUUUCUUUGUAAUUACAAUCCCAGAGCUUUCAACAUGCACCUAACCUCUACUUGUAAUUUUGGGAUAUUUGGAAUUAUUUAAAAAAAAGGAAAUUUAUUAUCAGAGAAAUGCAUAGUGAAAACCAAACAAUUUUUAACAAUACCUUUAUCAAAUGUAUGACCUUUCCUUUUAAUGAAAAAUUAUUUAAGGUUAACAUUUUUCAAGUUAAAGUAUACAUCCAAAGAAAAUUCACGAAAGUGAUGAUUAUAGACAAAUUAUAUAUGAAUGGAAAGGUCUUGUCUUUUUAUACACAAAUAUGUCACUAAAAAGUCUUAUUGAUGUCGUGGAAAUGCAAGAAAUGAAAUUAUUAGAGACCCUUCUCAGUCCCCCAGCCGCCCCCAGACAGACAGUCACGCGAUCAAAAACAGUCGAGAAUAAUGACGUCACAUGAUCGACUCACUCUGUGCAAGCCAGCAGUACACUGAUAGCUGAUUCACCUUCCUGGUCUCUAUUUUUCUUCGAAUUUACCGUUUUCUUCAUGUAUUGUGAUAUCCGAAUUCUGUUUUCGACAACUUCAGACUAUAAGGGAACCAGAACUGUGUUAUUUUGCCCGUUUUUUAUUGAAUUGUGAACUGGAAAGAUCGAUUUUGUCCACUCGACAGUCUUCGUUGUGUUGCUCUACUAACUAUUUAAAAACUCCAAGCUGCACGGUACCAUUCACUUGCUCCCGAUGCAUGUUGCAGGCUACGCUGUUUGAUCCAGUCAAAAGUCAAGAUAUGCACACUUGCUGACUCUGGUGACUUCUGGUCUCUGCUUGCUACCUCAAUCUGGGAGAUUCCAUCAUGUCCUUUUACUAUGAUUUGGAUAUAGCCAUUUUUUUCUUCACUCUUUCCAGGACCUACGGUUUGCAAGUUGUGGACUGAUAAUGAUACAAAAGAAAAAUUUUCUUUAUCAAUCUUGGAAACAAUUUUGAGCACAGUUUUGGAGAGAACUAAGAAAUUUGACUUGGACAGGAAUACAGCUUGUCAAAAAUAAUAACACACAAUUUAAACGAAAGAACAAUUUUAAUGUUACUAGGGCAUUUUGCGAGAAAUGUUAUACCCAAUCACACGUCCCAAAUCAAGGGUAAGUCCUUUGAUUAAACAUGUAGUUGAAUUGCGAUUGCAACUCGACCUUAUUACGCUUGAAUUUGAAUUUAAGACUUACGCUUGAUUUGCAAUUGAACAUAAGUUUCUUGCAGUGCCCCAUAAUUAUGUUUUGUUAUCAGAUAUUUAACGUGCUGAUUUUUCUCGAAAGGUAUAAUAUAUUUGUCCUUUUAAACGGUAUUUGAAUAUGGGUACGCCUUUUAUUUGUUUUCCACAAUAUUUAUUGCAUUUAUGAACAGAAGUGAAAUAUUUAUUGUGAAGCACUGUGAAUGUUGUGUGCUGUUGUGUGAUGGUUCAUCAUUUUUGUUAUAAGACUGAAAGCCUGGUGGAUGUGAGGAAGUGGCCUGGAUGAAAGAAAAGUGAACAUGUGUCCAAUUACUGAUUUGCAUAUUCUAAGACAAUUUUGUUUCUGGAUAAAUUUUGCUAUGCAUUCCCUACAUUAAGAGUAAAGGAGAAGUCCACGCAAUCAAAAAUUCAUUUGAAUUUAAAGAAAAAUAACAAGAUAUUGCAGGAAAUUUCAUAAAAACUUUGAUUCAAAUUUAUAUAAUUACUAUUUUAACAGUUCCGUAAAUAUAACCUAUUGUGAUCAGAUGAAGAGUUUCCUAUCGUCAAAUCUGCAAAGAAUAAAAAACAAAAUGCCACAAAAAAUAGAAACGAAUGUGAUGUGAGUGACAAUGCAUAUCAUUGUUUUGUGUAUAUAAGGGAAAUUACUCUAUUAAAAUAAUUUUUAGUUGAUGUGGACUUGACUUUUAACUCUACCCCUCCCAUCCCAAAUAAGAGUAGAAAUAAUCUAAUCAAGAACUUGAAAAUCAAAAGCAGCAAUUAAGAAGCAAGAUUUGUUAAAUACAGGUCUGAAUAGAAUUUUACAAGAAAAUAAAAAGAGAAAAAAAGAUGGGUAGGGACGGGGAAGGAAUUAAAAAAAAAUACCCAGAAAAAAAAAUCCGAGUUUCGAACCAGGGUCCUCGCACUUGACAAAACAAUGGCCAACGCAUUUGGCCACAGACUAUCGCCCUAUCGGGAAGGCAUUUUUAAGAUAUAUGAAAGAAAGUCCGCUCGCCGCUGUUUCCUAAUAAUGCUUCGGCAAUUCAACUGCAAUUUCAGUCAUUUCGCGAUGGAUAUUGCCGGUUUUUUUUUGUGGUUCCUGACUUUGCUACUUAAUGAAAUUUCAUAAUUUGUGUUCAGUCAUAAAGAAGAAUGUCUAUGCUUUAUAUUGAUUAUAACAUUAAUGUGACGCAAGUGUGAUUUCUACGUGAAAAUAUGCUUUGUUUAUUCACAUAUAUUUCUUGAAAAAAAAAAAUUCUAAGCUAAAUAUCGGUUACCAAAAUACGUUAAAUGUGCACUUUUUUUCACUGUUCAGUAAAUUCAAACUUUUAUCUAUAUAACAAGACCAAUCUUAAGAGGAAUAAACAAUUCUAAGAGCAAAAAAAGCUGAUUGGAAAGAUCGUCUCCAAAUGGGCUGCUGUCAGCUCAGCUGCUCACUGCUCAUUGUGUGACGUCACUCAGCUGGAGCUCGCAAGAGGACCGGUGGAAGGCAGAAAUAUGGCAUGAAAAUAAAUCAUUUUUUAGAGCUGAUUUCUGCAAUCUCUGAUCACUAUUUUGAAAAGUGAAGUUAUAUAUCUGAUUAGUAAUACUUCCCCUUUACAAUGAUGACCACAUAAAGUCAUUAUAAAAUACUUUUGAUUCUUCGGAUGUAUACUUUAAACACAUUUUCGACACAGAUGGCAAAAUGAGAACAGAUUUUUUUCUUUGGAAAAGGUUUUAAUGUAAAUGAUUUAUUUUCGCUUAACGAAUUGUAUAACAAGAUACCAGUUGAAUGGAAGAAUCGAAGAACAUCCUCAGGGAGAGGUGACACAUGGCAUGAUAAUAUUGAUUUUUUUUUAACAUCUAUGUGCUUUCCUUUACCUGUGUGGUCCAAAAUGAUCUAUACAAUACAAGAUUCAUUCGCUUUUAAACAUCUUAGAUUUUUCUGUUUCGACACAAGCCUACUUAUUCUAAAGGUUUCAUUCCCCUUUAAACAUCCAUAUGUGUCAGCUUUAAACUUGAAUAAGUCGGCAGUUGCAACCUGUUUUUCUAUCCCUCGAAUAUCCACAUUAGACUGGAAGUUAAGAGAAUUUCAAUACAAACUUUUACAUACAGUACAUGUAGCAUCAUAUUUUGUAAUGACAAACUUUUCCAGUUUGGUAUAAUACAUUCCAAUACUUGCUCUUUCUGUAGAAAAUAGAAAAGAUAUAUAAACAUAUUAGGGGAAAUUUGUCACAGUAUUUUACUUGCAAUGUUGGCGUAAGACAAGGGGAAAAUCUAUCUCCAUUAUUGUUUGCCAUUUAUUUGAAUGAUUUUGACAGUAUGUUAUGAAGGCCUGAAGUAUUUGGCCAGUGAGAUGCGCAGUAGGGUUUUGGAUACUUUUGUUAAAGGACAAGUCCACCCCAACAAAAAGUUGAUUGGAAUAAAGAAAGAAAAAUCCCACAAGCAUAAAACUGAAAAUUUCAUCAAAAUUCUGAUGUAAAAUAAGAAAGUUAUGACAUUUUAUAGUUUCAAUUAAUUUCACAAAACAGUUACAUGUACAUCCUGGUCAGUAUGCAAAUGAGGAGACUGAUGAUGUCAUCCACUCACUAUUUCUUUUGUAUUUUAUUAUGUGAAAUAUGAAAUAUUCUAAUUUUCUCCUCAUUGACAGUGAAACAACGAUUAAUUUCUCCCUGAACAUGAGGAAUUACCAUUGUUUGAUACUAUAUGGUUCAGUCAACUUGGUCCUUAUUGUCAAAUCUGUAAAAAAUGAAAUAUUGUGUAAUUCAAACAAUAACAAAAACAAAAGAAAUAGUGAGUGAUGGACAUCAUCGACUGACUCAUUCUAAUGACACUGAGUUGUGCAUAUCACUGUUUCGUGAAAAAUAAGCGAAACUUUAAAAUGCCAUAACUUUCUUAUUUUAUAUCCGAUUUUGAUGAAAUUUUCAGCGUUAUGCUAGUUUGAUUUUUCUAUAUUUAUUCAAAUAAACAUUUUUCUGGGGUGGACUUGACCUUUAAUUUGCAUUGCUUGUUGUAUGCAGACGACACUAAUAUUCUAGCCGAAGAUGUGCAUAUAACGCUGUUAAAUUAAGUGAAAUUUCAAAAUGUCAUUAUUUUCUUACUUUACAUCCGAUUUUAAUGAAAUUGUCAGUGUUAUGCUUGUUUGAUUUUCUCUUUUUUAUUCAAAUCAACUAUUUCAUUUGUUGGGGACUUGUCCUUUAAUUGCUAUUUAUGAAUGCAAAGGUGUCCCCGACAAAGUUCAUUGGAAAAAAAACAUGGUUAAAAAGAAAGAAAAGAAAUUAAGAAUUCAAAAACAAUAAAAUACAAGUGUUAUUUGUUAUUUGUAGAUAAAGCUAGUGUAUUUGUUAGAAAUGUCAUAACAUUUUCACAAAAAUUUCACAUUUUAAUAGUUAUAUAAAAAGCGAGUAAAAGGUAAAAACAGUCACAAAAACACAUUGAGGGCAAAUUUCAUACAUUUAUUUGCAUAAUAAAUUAAUUUAGAAAUAUUAACUAUUUUUGAAAACUUUACUUUAGUCUUACAUGUUCAUUUGGCUCUACGGCAUGCAAAUUUUCACAGCGAUUGAUAAAUCAGCGGCCAAGAUCCGAAGGAUACCCUCUUCUGAAAUAGCCCUGUUAAAUUAGGGUUAACAUGAAGACAUAAAAUAUAACUUUACAAUGCCCUCUUAAAAUGUAAUAUUGUUAUACAUUCAGUAAUUCUACAUGGGAGGGAAUUACAUAUACAUUAAUAGGUAAACUAUGUUGAAGGGUACAAUAUGACAAGAUCUUGGUCGAACGUUCUAGAGUAGACUUUAAUCUUAGAUAUGACAGAGAAUAUUAAAUCUAAUUUAGAUUAUUUUAGAGAAUUUAGACUUAGAGUCUAGUCUCUAGAUCUAUUUAGAUCAUAAAGGCCUCUAGAUUCUAACGUUAGAUCUAACUCGGUUCAUAGAAUAUCUAUGAAUUGCUUUGAUAUUCGAGACCUAGCAUUAGGCAUCAAUUUGUUUUAGAUCUAACGAUAGAUGUAACAUUAGAUCUAGAUUAUUUUGGAUAAGUUAGACCAAGAUCUUAAAUAUCAGUUAUUAGGUCUAAUUUGGUUCAUAAAAUAUAUAUGGACUGCUUUGAUAUUCGAGACAUGGUUGUGCCUUUCGGCUCGCGGGUACUGCAUAGUCGGGCAUAGUCGCGUUACGGUCCCCUUGAGCCUCUAGAAAGAACCAUGCCUCUCAUAGCAGUCCAUAUAUGUAUACUAUAAUUACUAUGAAUGCCAUAAUAUUUCAAUUUAGAUUGAAAAUAAUUAACAAAGUUGAAUCCUAAGAACGAUCCAUAAGUAUUUUUAGCAGUUGAUUCCACCCUACCCCUUGAGAUAUUGGCAGCCGAUGGCACAAUCACAGCUAAAAUUUUCAGUGGUAGUGUGCAAUCUUCUUGAAUAAUAAUAGUAUUUUUAUAUAAAUUGAUUAUGCUAACUUAUGCAUGAAAUAUGAGAUUUGCUUAAAUUUACAGUAUAUGGCCCCUAAAACUGUCAAUUUUCGAUUCACAGACUUUGUAGGAUAUUGAUCAAAUAUACAGUACUUUA